rnacentral:tRNA from 1 species
AAGGCCUUAAGUUAAAACUAAACUAAUAACCUUCAAAGCUAUAAAUAAAGGGGCACCCUUUAGGCCUUG